rnacentral:piRNA from 1 species
UAGGUAUUAAGAGUGUUUUCGAUUGGCC